GGCUCGUUGGUUUAGGGGUAUGAUUCUCGCUUUGGGUGCCAGAGGUCCUCGGUUCAAAUCCCAGACGAGCCC
rfam:Macaca mulatta chromosome 20, whole genome shotgun sequence.